AUUUAUAUAAUAUAUAUAGUAUAUUUGACUUCCAAUCAAAAAGUUUAAUAAUUUUAAUAUAAAUA
rnacentral:tRNA from 6 species